rnacentral:rRNA from 1 species
UACGUAGGGGGCAAGCGUUGUCCGGAUUUAUUGGGCGUAAAGAGCGUGUAGGCGGCCAGGUAGGUCUGCUGUGAAAACCUAAGGCUCAACCUUGGGCUUGCAGUGGGUACGGGCAGACUAGAGUGCGGUAGGGGUGACUGGAAUUCCUGGUGUAGCGGUGAAAUGCGCAGAUAUCAGGAGGAACACCAAUGGCGAAGGCAGCUCGCUGGGACGGUACUGACGCUGGAGGCGCGAAAGCGUGGGGAGCAAACAGG